UUGACCUCAAAUCAGGUAGGACUACCCGCUGAACUUAAGCAUAUCAAUAAGCGGAGGAAAAGAAACUAACAAGGAUUCCCCUAGUAACUGCGAGUGAAGUGGGAAAAGCUCAAAUUUAAAAUCUGACAGUCUUUGACUGUCUGAGUUGUAACCUAGAGAAGUGCUACCUGUGCUGGACCAUGUAUAAGUCUCCUGGAAUGGAGUGUCAGAGAGGGUGAGAAUCCCGUCCUUGACAUGGACUGCCAGUGCAUUGUGGUGUGCUCUCAAAGAGUCGAGUUGUUUGGGAAAUGCAGC
rnacentral:rRNA from 1 species